rnacentral:rRNA from 1 species
GGAAGGACAUUAUCAAAAAAAUUCACUUUUUUUGAAAUAUUUUUCCAUUUUUCCCUUGUGUAUCUAUUCCAUGUUGCUUCCACUAGACAGGUAAUUAUAUCAACCGUAUAUAUUUACCCUUCAUACCUUAAUUGUUUUUUUUAAACACUAUGGGGCGUGGAGAAAUGUCAGUGGAUGGCCGUAAUUUUUAAGACAUGUUUUUUUAUAUAUAGUCUGAUAAGAGUGAUAAUAAAUAAAAAAAAACUUUCAACAACGGAUCUCUAGGCUCUUGCAUCGAUGAAGAACGCAGUGAAAUGUGAUAAGUAAUGUGAAUUGCAGAAUCUCGUGAAUCAUCGAAUCUUUGAACGCACAUUGCGCCCAAUGGUAUUCCAUUGGGCAUACCUGUUUGAGUAUCARAAUCCUUUCAAUUAUCAAACUUUUACAUAUAGAGAUAUAUGUAAAGAUGUUUGGAAUACAAUUGAGAAAAGUAGUAUUCCUUAUGGUAUUGCUUUCUUAAAAACUAGAAAUACUAUGUUUUGAUUUUUCUUCAGCUCAUUUUGUAUAUCAUUUAACAAAUGAGUACGAGUAAAAAUAUACAAUACUUUGGAUGACCUCAAAUCAGGUAGGGAUACCCGCUGAACUUAAGCAUAUCAAUAAGCGGAGGAA